ensembl:miRNA
AUGGAGUUUUCUCUCUCUGUCCUGGAAUGGAGUCAGACUGGGCCCUGAGGAGAAGCAGCAGAGAAUGGGACUGCAUCGU